rnacentral:rRNA from 1 species
UACCUAGGGUGCGAGCGUUGCCCGGAUUUAUUGGGCGUAAAGGGCGCGUAGGCGGCUCGGCACGUCCGUUGUGAAAUCGCCCGGCUCAACUGGGCGGGGUCAGCGGAUACGGCCGAGCUUGAGCAAGCUAGGGGGCAAUGGAAUUCCCGGUGUAGUGGUGGAAUGCGUAGAUAUCGGGAGGAACACCAGUGGCGAAGGCGGUUGCCUGGAGCUUUGCUGACGCUGAUGCGCGAAAGCGUGGGGAGCGAUCCGG